GUUGGCGGCAGGAGCGGAGGUGAACACCUCUUCCCAUUCCGAACAGAGAAGUUAAGCCCUCCAGCGCCGAUGGUACUGGGGUCAUACCCGGGAGAGUAGGUCGCCGCCACGU
rnacentral:rRNA from 1 species